ensembl:ncRNA C15H7.9 ncRNA
AGUACGUAUAAAUGUGUUGCACAUACAUACACGCUGUUUGAUGUAACUUUACACCGACACACUGAAGGGCGAUGAGCCAAUGUCCAGGAGGCACUCCGAGAUCAGUGACUCUAGUAAUCGGCGGGGCUCCGGGUCCCCCCGGUUGGUAGGUUACGUGUGCUCGUGGGAUGCACGGAGGAGAUGAAGCUUUUCGCUCGAUUACAACAUUCGCAACAUUGU